UGCUAAAAUUGGACAUAAAUUUAUUAUGUUAUGACACAAAGGCAAACAAUUAAUUACAGAAGUAAUAAUUUACUUGUACUAUUCCUAAAAUCAUCUUAAAAUCCAGACACCUGAAAUAUAGGAGAAGUGUAAAAUUGAUAGUAUCAAGUUUUUAUUAUAAUAUAGUUUAAGUAUUAGUAACUUAUUAUGGAUCAAAGAUAAUAAAAUUUGACUCUUGACAAGUACAUGAAAUGCCUUAUAAUAAACUGAACCGGAGGUGCUAAUAAAUAAAAUCCAGAGGAAAGAGCUGCACAUGACAUACGUAUCAACAUCAAUGAAACAAAGGAACCAUGAUGAACCAUUGCCAUGUGCCUCAAGAGAGAAUCUGGUCCACAAGGCACCAUCUUAUUCGAGCGAAAUUCCAUGAAAGACAUGUCGUGGGUGUCAGUUUCCCAUAGAGUAACGCCGAUGAGAUUAUGAUACAAAAGCUGGAUUCUGGAUGACACUUGUCCAUGCCACUGAAAGGGGCAAAAGAAAAAGGAAAAAAAAACAGUAGAACGAAAGGCAAGUUGAGUAUCUUUAUUCGUUUUCCAUAUGAUCGUUGGUUCUAGAACCAAGAUGUGAGCUGUCGUACAUGACAAGGGGAUCGAUCGAGAGCAAGCGCGUCCAUCCAAGAAUCGUGAGGCAAUUGCAUGAUAGCAGGCCGUGGCUGGGCCCCAUCAUUCCAUCAUGGGGCCGCUGAUGAGUCAUCACACGGUCAUUAGUUCGCCGGCGUGUCUUUGAUUUGGCAAGAAAAGGACGGAUUAGAUAAAGAAGGAGAA
rnacentral:lncRNA from 1 species